GACGAACGCUGGCGGCGUGCUCAACACAUGCAAGUCGAACGGAAAGGCCUGCUUUCCCUUGUGGAUUGCGGGUACUCGAGUGGCGAACGGGUGAGUAACACGUGAGUGAUCUGCCCCCAACUUGGGUAUAAGCCUGGGAAACUGGGUCUAAUUCCCGAUAGGACUGCAGGGUGGUGCCUGUGGUGGAAAACGAUUUUCUAGUGGUUGGGGAUGAGCUCGCGGCCUAUCAGCUUGUUGGUGGGGUAAUGGCCUACCAAGGCGGCGACGGGUAGCCGGCCUGAGAGGGUGGACGGCCACAUUGGGACUGAGAUACGGCCCAGACUCCUACGGGAGGCAGCAGUGGGGAAUAUUACACAAUGGGCGGAAGCCUGAUGCAGCGACGCCGCGUGGGGGAUGACGGCCUUCGGGUUGUAAACUCCUUUCGACCGCGAGGAAGCCACCUGGUUGGAAGGGUGGUGACGGUAGUGGUAGAAGAAGCACCGGCUAACUACGUG
rnacentral:rRNA from 1 species